CCUACGGGUGGCAGCAGUGGGGAAUAUUGGACAAUGGGGGCAACCCUGAUCCAGCCAUGCCGCGUGUGUGAAGAAGGCCCUCGGGUUGUAAAGCACUUUCAGUGAGGAAGAACGCCUGGUGGUUAAUACCCAUCAGGAAAGACAUCACUCACAGAAGAAGCACCGGCUAACUCCGUGCCAGCAGCCGCGGUAAUACGGAGGGUGCGAGCGUUAAUCGGAAUUACUGGGCGUAAAGCGCGCGUAGGUGGCUUGAUAAGCCGGUUGUGAAAGCCCCGGGCUCAACCUGGGAACGGCAUCCGGAACUGUCAAGCUAGAGUGCAGGAGAGGAGGGUAGAAUUCCCGGUGUAGCGGUGAAAUGCGUAGAGAUCGGGAGGAAUACCAGUGGCGAAGGCGGCCUUCUGGACUGACACUGACACUGAGGUGCGAAAGCGUGGGUAGCAAACAGGAUUAGAUACCCCAGUAGUC
rnacentral:rRNA from 1 species